UCCGGCCGCAGGUUGACGGACCAGAAAAUAGACCUCGUACAUAUAUUAGUUUUGACGGAUCGGAGAGGCGGACUCAGGCGCAUCCGGAUCGGAGCUGAGCGAAUCAUGUGGACCACCUCGUAUUGACUACAAUACAAACGUAUUUGUUGCGUCGUUCGGAACGGAGCUAAGCGUAGCGCGGCUGACAAUGUGUGUUUCAGCAUUCAGAAAACAAAGCAGGCGCAAAGACUUGUGGGUGAAAUGACACCACGACUGGGCUGCGAAGCAACGCAGAGAUGAGCACAGCAAUCCCAGGUAGACUUGUACUCCUCAGAGGCAUGUUGAAACCACGAUACCGUGAGUGCAGACAGUCCUCUCUGCUCCUGUUCGCUGCCUCUCUCUCCUCCAGCUACACUCAGCUGCUGCCACAGUCUAGUUGGUACAGACGGUGUUGCUGUAAACCGUCAAGUAAUUACCCUCCAAGAGUAUGCCUGUGUCGUCAGGAGAUCCCAGACGUGAGAGUCAAACUUGAGGAGGCUGAAGCACUGACAGGGGCAUGGCAUG